rnacentral:rRNA from 1 species
GGGAUGACACAGUAGGAUAAGCUAAGCACACUGUUGGUUAUGUGUGCCCAAGCAUUGAGGCAGUCAAAGUAGGCAAAUCCGCUUUGAUAAUGCUGGGAUGUGAUGGGGAGCGAAAUUUAGUAGCGAAGUAGCUGAUUUCACACUGUCAAGAAAAGUCUCUAUCGAGGUUAAAGGUACCCGUACCGCAAACCGACACAGGUGGGUGAGGAGAGUAUCCUAAGGCCAGCGAGAGAACGGUUGUUAAGGAACUCGGCAAAAUGACCCCGUAACUUAGGGAUAAGGGGUGCCACCAUCAGGUGGCCGCAGAGAAUAGGCCCAAGCGACUGUUUACCAAAAACAUAGGUUUCUGCUAAGUCGCAAGACGAUGUAUAGGAGCUGACGCCUGCCCGGUGCUGGAAGGUUAAGGGGAUCUGUUAGAGCAA